rnacentral:rRNA from 1 species
UACAGAGGGUGCAAGCGUUGUUCGGAAUCAUUGGGCGUAAAGGGCGUGUAGGCGGUCUGUUAAGUCAUGUGUGAAAUCCCUCGGCUCAACCGGGGAACGACGCAUGAAACUGACAAGCUAGAGUACCAAAGAGGGGGGUGGAAUUCCCGGUGUAGCGGUGAAAUGCGCAGAUAUCAGGAGGAACACCGAUUGCGAAGGCAGCUCGCUGGGACGUCACUGACGCUGAGACGCGAAAGCGUGGGGAGCAAACAGG